rnacentral:rRNA from 1 species
ACGCCUAAUACAUGCAAGUCGAACGGAGUAGCAAUACUUAGUGGCAGACGGGUGAGUAACAUGUGGGUAUCUUCCCUUUGGUGAGGAAUAACACGAGGAAACUUGUGCUAAUACCUCAUAAGUCUUUACGGAGAAAGCUUUAUGCGCCAUUGGAUGAGCCCGCACUUGAUUAGUUUGUUGGUGGGGUAAAAGCCUACCAAGACUGUGAUCAAUAGCUGAUUUGAGAGGAUGAUCAGCCACAUUGGGACUGAGACACGGCCCAAACUCCUACGGGAGGCAGCAGUAGGGAAUCUUGCACAAUGGAGGAAACUCUGAUGCAGCGAUGCCGCGUGAGUGAAGAAGGCCCUUGGGUUGUAAAGCUCUUUCGUCGGGGAAGAAAAUGACUGUACCCGAAUAAGAAGGUCCGGCUAACUUCGUGCCAGCAGCCGCGGUAAUACGAAGGGACCUAGCGUAGUUCGGAAUUACUGGGCUUAAAGAGUUCGUAGGUGGUUAAAAAAGUUGGUGGUGAAAGCCCAGAGCUUAACUCUGGAACUGCCAUCAAAACUUUUUAGCUAGAGUAUGAUAGAGGAAAGCAGAAUUUCUAGUGUAGAGGUGAAAUUCGUAGAUAUUAGAAAGAAUACCAAUUGCGAAGGCAGCUUUCUGGAUCAUUACUGACACUGAGGAACGAAAGCAUGGGUAGCGAAGAGGAUUAGAUACCCUCGUAGUCCAUGCCGUAAACGAUGUGUGUUAGAUGUUGGAAAUUUAUUUUCAGUAUCGCAGCGAAAGCGAUAAACACACCGCCUGGGGAGUACGACC